UAUGUGAGAUUGCUGGUGCAGAUGGACAGCUUUGUAAUAGAGAAGUUGACGGAAAGGCAGCUUGAUACCUUGGUUAAAACAUUUGAAGAUUUCACAAGACUUCAGGAAGCUACAUCCAGAGGCAGACUUUUUGUAGACUGGGCUACAUUUGCAAGAUGGAAAGGUGCAUUAAGAGCUGGGUGACAUGACUUCAGUUUCACAAAAGGGGAGAGUGCUUUCAAACUCCUGCUCGUUCUGGAGGAAGGGUCCACAGAACCACAACCACAGAAUUCUGGAAGCCAUUCACUGACAUACAAACCUGU